rnacentral:rRNA from 1 species
UACGUAGGGUGCAAGCGUUAAUCGGAAUUACUGGGCGUAAAGCGUGCGCAGGCGGUCCGUUAAGACAGAUGUGAAAUCCCCGGGCUUAACCUGGGAACUGCAUUUGGGACUGCAAGGCUUGAGUACAGCAGAGGGGGUAGAAGUUCCUGGUGUAGCAGUGAAAUGCGUAGAUAUCAGGAGGAAUACCGAUGGGCGAAGGCAGCCCCCUGGGUUGAUACUGACGCUCAUGCACGAAGCGUGGGGAGCAAACAGG